GGUCAAUAAAUUCAAAGUAUACAUUUUCAGUAAGAGUAAGGAGAAAGGAGUGAGAUUACAAAAUAUUUACAUUAUAAGGAACAUACAUUUACAGAUGUGCAGAUAAGAAUUGAAAGGUUAAUUAAUUAGUUCAUAUUUCCAGAAUGUACAGCCCAAAAAGUUGGUGAAAUCAUAUACAUAGAAAGAUAUAGAGAAAAGUAAUAAGAAAUAAAAAUACAAUCAUAAACAGGCAUAGGAAUAUUUUGUAGAGAUUCGACAAAGUUAUAUGUACGAGCAAUUCUUUUAGUAACAUUGUUUUGAGUACCGGCCCUUGGGCUUUAGAAUGCUAGGUACUAAAAUUCUUACCUAGUACCGGCAAUGUUGGUGUUGGAUCCACUGUGUAAGGUUCACCUGAAAUUUUAAAUUAAGUAUGUAAUUAUUGUAUUUAAAUCUAAACAACGUAUAAGCUAAACGGGUCUUUUGGAGCUCACAAAAGCUCUAUCAAGUUGCGGCAACGCGAACAUGUUCAAAUAAAGCUACAAGUUUUAACUGUU